GUAAGAUCAAAAUAACAGGCAAGCAAAAACAAAAGUUGGAUGUUAUCAGCCAAAAGGCAGAGUAAAAUCAUGCUUUCCAGAACUCAAUUUGAGCCAGGAACUUUUCUCCUAUAUAUUCAUUACUUCUACAUAUGCUGAUAACUGAAUAACGGCAAUGCUGUAGCCUCUGCCUACAGUAAAGACGUAGCUAUUGUCCUUGAAAGGUUUUCUAGUUGAAGCAGUUAUCUAUGCUCGAAGCCGGUUUUGGUCACAUUCACAUUAAAGUAGGAAAUUUCAAUGAAAAUGAGACUUGACAUUUUCCACUUAAUUUGAACUGAAAAUGGGAAUGAUUAUGAUUUUAUGAGAAUAAGGGAACUAUUUAAAGUAACCACAAGUUUUCCAAAAGCAUUACACAAAACCCUCAAUUCUUUUUGAUAUUCCACUGUAUUUUCAUGCAUACUUAGAAAAAAAAAAAGAGAAGAAAGAAAACAAACACUGUUCUCUGAGAGGAAAUCUAAUAACUCUGAGUAGGAGAUAAGGCAUAAAUCAUAUAGUGGUACAGGUUAUGGUAUUUGCUGCCUAUGAAAGCAAAAGAUUACAAGAAGUGAUUAAGAUCUUAUUGUUUAUUUUUCAAUAUAUACAAGGCAAUAACCACUUCAGAAUUUAGCAGUUCAACCAAGUUGAAGCCAAGUUGUAACUAGGAUUAUUCAGUUAUUUCUCUUAUAAAUUUGAUACUUUAAGAGUGUGUAAUAAAAGCAUGGACAUAUUUUUAAUACAAAUUAAUUCUCACACCCAGCCCUACAUUACUAAGUCAAAAAAUCACAUGGGUAAAGUACUGCUUUUCCAAAAGACUUGUUAUGCUGCUUACUCCCAACAUAUACAUUUACUAACUCACUACCAAAAUCUUCAUAGAAUAAACUGCGGAGAAAUAUGCAUUGUUCAUUUUUCUUGGUAUUUCUUUCUGUUCUUAGCCCUUUCCUAUUCUUUCAAACUUACUUUUAUCCAGAAGUGUAAAACUGAUGAGCAGUGGAGCUAUCUUUUCUUUUUCUUUUUACCUUUUUAGACAAAUUUUGAAAGGAACACUGAUAGAAUUUAGAUACUCCAAAGGUGAUCUCUGUGCAAUAUCUUCUGUAGUCUGGGGAAAAGUAUGUGCAAUAAUUGUGAUAAAUCCUUGAAAGGAUACAAUUUUAAUUUCAGUUAAAAGGAAAAAACAAGCAAGCAGGUAUCUUUUGUUGAGAGAUGCUGUGACAGUCUCCUUGCACAAGCUGAGCACUUACUGCAAUACAUGGAAAAGUUUGAGUGCAAGCUCAAGUUGUCUGUAUGCUGGAUUGUUUUGGUGCUUCUUGACCAAAACUGGAUCCUAGAUCUUGCUUUAUCACUGUGUUAUUAGACACCUUAAUUUGUCUAAAGUAAGACAAAAUUCUUCCCAGUAGUAUCUACUGAUUAAAACGAGCUUCUGAUCUAAGCCUAUCUGUAAUUAAAAGUGAGUAUGUAUGAAUGUGAAAGAUGCAGUGUUUUGGAGGUAUCUUGAGAGCAUUGGAAACUACGGUAAAGCUGAGCUCAGUGGAAAUAAUCAGCUGUGGCUGAUGGGAUGAGGCAAAAAGCAUCAGAGGAGUGAUGAGCUGUGGACCAGCCUAUGGCACAGCAUCUGGCUAUAAAGCACUUCAGUGAGACGUGCUAAGGGAGGAGGGAACCACCACAGAACUUAAGUGUCAUUGGAAAUAUUAGAAAACUUUUGCUUAAUCUUUCUUUCUGAUGUUGUAUUCUAAGUAGAAGCAAUGGAAUAUUUCCUCCUCUUAAAUUGUUAGAAUUGGAAGGCAACUUGGAAUCUGUGUCAAUAGUUUAACUAUACUGAAUGAAUCAAAUCUGUUUGCAAACUCAAGGAAGAGGUACACCAUGUAAUCCUUGCACAAGGUACAUAUGUACUGUAUACACAUUUGCAUAAAUAAGUGCUCAUAAAUAGAAAGGGAGGGGGUGGGGACAGAAAUCAAAUCCAAGAGAGAGAUGAAGAAGAGUUGGCAUUUUCAGCAUGUUGUCAGCAUAAAAUGAUGUUUCAAAUGUAGCAAUGUCUAUUUUGGUGAAUUAUCAACUAUUUUUGACUUUGACCAGAUAUGACUUUCUAAUAGAUAAGAAGAGCAGACAUUUGUAGAUGUUUGUCUUAAACUGUAACUGUUAAAUUAGAAACAUACACCCACUAAGAUUGUUAAUUGAACCUUUUAGCUAUCAUCGGAUACUUGAUCAACAAUGUUUGAGAUUGUAGAUUUUGACUGACUGUAGAUGAGUAUCUGUUGGUCUAGUGAUGGUACAGAACUUCCUACAGGGAUUCUGCCUCUUUAACUGGCUGUGCUGCUAACCAUCAUGUGUUCUUGGUUUUUAUCUUCCUUUGUUUUUGUUUAUUUGCAGUUAUACUUUCUUUGCUACUUAACUGUCCAUAUUCACAGAUGGCUGUAUUCACCCUUAGUAGGUACUUGGCUAAUCUAUAUGAAUUUAUCUCCUUUAUAAACUAUCCCUUUUGGACCCUCCCAUAUUGCACAUAAUCAGAUGCAAAUUGCACAUGCUCAAACCUUAAUCAACAAACCUAGAAGAACAGCUCACCUUACUAAACUACGAUGACUUAAGCCAAUAUGAAAUGGAAACUUGAGGUUUUCUAGAGGAAAAUCCAUUCCUGUGCACAUGAGCAGUUUCAGAGGUUACUGCUGCCUGCUUGGCUGUAUUUGUUCUGCCCAAAAUCUGACCGCUGAUGUGAAUGUGGUACAUGUAGGUGGGCUGCUUGCAGUGCCCUGUGCAUCCGUGUGUGAGACUGACUUUUGCUUGGAAAUAUCCACUGGAGGAGAAGAUAGCUAAUGAUUUGUGCUUGCUUGCUUAGUGACUAUCAAGCUUUCCUCUUGAGAUUAUCCCUGCUUAGAGUAUUUGAGCUUGAUUUGAUUUAAUACCAGGUUUGCUAUGCUGUAAGUCUAAAUAAGUGCAAUGGAGUAAGAUUGGAAAUAACAUCUGUGGGCAAAAUCCCUGAAAGGAAUGGAAAUAACUCCAAAAACCUCUUGUGGUUUUUGGAUAAAUCCUCUAUCUUUAAAGCGUGGGAGGAAAUUGGCAUGUGCGUCCAUUUGUCUAUGCAGAUGUCUAUUUCUUUAUUCAUCAGAAACAAUUGCACACAUGGGCAACUAUUUUCUCUUGCAAAUAGUGGUUACUGUGCAUAUGGAUUCUAGAGGAGUUUUUCAAAAAUAUUCCCUUUAAUAAGACAAUCACUAGAACCUCCUACUUUGGUGUUGUUCUAACAGUUGUGAAAUAUUCUUUGAAUAUUAAUAGUUGUAGAUUACUUUAAAAAAAUUUAAAGAAGAUAGAAGAGGAAGUCCUUGAGUGAUGAACAUGAAGUAUCAGUUAAAAGGUUAAUUAUUUUACUAGCAUUAAUAUCUUUUAGAUUUAGUUGCCUAAAAGCAUAAACUUCUAGCCAUCUAGACUCCCUCAGAUCAACCAGACGUGUAAAUGCAUCAAUCCGUGGACUUUAGGGAUGAUGCUGUAAGACAAGGCAGUAAGACAUCUAGAGGGACAUUGCUUCCUUUUGGAGGUGUUUUUUUUCCCUCCAAAUAGCAAGAGAUCUCAGUAAUUCUACCUUUCUUUUUAGGAUGAGCCUGAAAUUAUUAAUUUUCUCUGCUAUAUUUACUGUUAGACAAUAUUUUUCUAUGAAUCAGCUUGUUUCUCUGUUUCUCUCAGUUUCUGUCAAAGCCUGAUCUUGCAGAAUAAGGCAAGUGAAAUGGGAAUGGAGGAAUCAUAAAGAGCACAGAUCUCAGUUUACUGGAUAUUCUCUUUCAUUCAUUGUCAUUGCAAUGUAAUGAGCUGAAUCUAUGAUUCCGUGACCAUCACGUGUUUUUGUUUUUGUUUGUUUGUUUUCUUUUUUGACACAAUCUUAGUUACUGGUUGUGGUCCUUUGGUUUAUUACCAUUGCAAAGUAGGCAGCUGAAUCAACGACAUAUGAAUCCCUGAUCAUGUUUUUUUGUUUGUUUGUUUGUUUUGCACAGAACUGAGUUAAUUGGAUGCGGUCAUUGGUUUAUUGUCAUUGCAAUGUAGGUACCAUAACCUAUGAUCUAUGAAUCCAUGAUCAUCUUGUUUUCUUUUUUUUGCAGAGAUCUCAGCUCAUUAGUUGUGGUCUUCGGUUUACUGUGAUUGCAAUGUAGGAAGUUGAAUCUGUGAUCAUCUUGGGUGGUUUUUUUUGUUUUGUUUUGUUUUUUGGCAAAGAUGUUAGAAUAUUGUUUGUAGUCUUUGGUUUAUUGUCACUGCAAUGUAGAAUGCUGAAUCCAUGAUAUACGAAUCCAUUAUCUUCAUGGGGGUUUUUUGCACAGAUCUUAGUUCAUCAGUUGCAUGCUUUGGUUUAUUAUCACUGUAAUGUAGGAAGCUUAAACUAUGAUCUAUGGAUCCAUGAUCAUCAUGGUUUUUCUUGCACAGAUCAUAAUUUAUUGGAUAUGGACUUUGGUUUAUUAUCAUUGCAAUGUAGAUAGCUGAAUCCAUGAUCAUCAUGGGUUUUUUUUGUUUGUUUUUUUUUGCAGAGAUCUUAGUUUGUUAGUUGUGGUCUUUGGUUUAUUGUUAUUGUAAUGUCGGAUGCUGAAUUUUUGAUCUAUGGAUCCAUGAUCAUCUUGGGUUUUUUGCACAGGAAUUAGAUUAUUGGUUGUGGUUUUUGGUUUAUUGUCAUUGCAAUGUAGUAAGCUGAGCCUGUGAUCUAUGAAUUCAUGAACAUCUUGUUAUUUUUUUUGCACAGAUUUUAGUUUAUUAGUUGUGGUCUUUGAUUUAUUGCAAUAUAGGAUGCUGAAUCCAUGAUCUAUGAAUCCAUCAUCAUCUUGAGGUUUUUUUUUUGCACAGAUCUUAGUUCAUCAGUUGUGCGCUUUGGUUUAUUAUCACUGUAAUAUAGGAAGCUGAAUCUAUUAUCUAUGGAUCUGUGAUCAUCUGUUUUUUUUUUGUUCUGGUUGUUGUUUGUUUGGACAUCUUAGUUUACUGGUUGUGGUCUUGGAUUUAGUGUCUUUGUAAUGUAGGUAGCUGAAUCUAUGAUCUGUGGAUUCAUGAUCAUAUUGGUUUUUCUUGCACAGAUCAUAAUUUUUUGGACAUGGACUUUGGUUUAUUAUCAUUGCAGUGUAGAUAGCUGAAUCCAUGAUCAUCUUGUUUUUUGUUUUGUUUUGGGUGGUUUUUUAUUUUUAUUUUUAUUUUUUUUCAGAUAUCUUAAUUUAUUACUUGUGGUCUUUGGUUUAUUGUCAUUGUAAUGUUGGAUGCUGAAUCUGUGAUUUAUGAAUUCAUGAUCAUCUUCUUAUAUUUUUAGCCCAGAUCUUAGUUUAUUGGUUGUGGUUUUUGGUUUAUUGUCACUACAAUGUAGGAAACGAAAUCCAUGAUCUAUGAAUUCAUGAUCAUCGUGCUAUUUUUUUUAGCACAGGUCUUAGUUUGUUAGUUGUUGUCCUUGGUUUAUUAUCAUUGCAGUGUGGAUAGCUGAAUCUGUGAUCUAUGAAUUCAUCAUCAUCUUGGUGUUUUGUUUUUUUGUUGUUGUUGUUGUUUUUUUCUUCAGAGAUCUUAGUUUAUCAGUUGUGGUCUUUGGUUUAUUAUCACUGUAAUGUAGGAAUUUACUGUCAUUGCAAUGUAGGUAGCUGAAUCUAUGAUCUAUGGAUCCAUGAUCAUCUUGUUUUUUUUUUUUUGUUUUUUUUUUUUUUGCACAUGUAUUAGUUCUUUGGUUGUGGCUUUUGGUUUAUUGUCACUGCAGUGUAGGAAGCUGAAUCCAUGAUCUAUGAAUUCAUGAUCAUUGUGCUAUUUUUCUAGCAAAGGCCUUUAUUAGUUGUGGUCUUUUGAUUAUUGUCAUUGUAAUGUAGGAUGCUGAGUCUACAAUCUAUGGAUACAUAAUCAUCUUGGGUUUUUUUAGCAGAGAUCUUAGUUUAUUAGUUCUGGUCUUUGGUUUAUUGUCAUUGCAAUGUAGAUAGCUGAAUCCAUGAUCAUCUUGUUAUUUUUUUUAGCACAGAUCUUAGUUUAUUUGUUGCAUUCUUUGGUUUAUUAUUGUUGCUAUGUAGGUAGCUGGAGUUAUGAUCUAUGAAUUUAUGAUCAUCUUGUUAUGUUUUUAGCACUGAUCUUAGUUUAUUGGUUGUGGUCUUUGGUUUAUUAUCAUUGUAAUGUAGGAGUUGAAUCUAUGAUCUGUGGAUCCAUGAUCAUCUUGGGUUUUUUUUAGCAGAGAUCUUAGUUAGUUGUGGUCUUUCGAUUAUUGUCAUUGCAAUGUAGGAAGCUGAGUCUACGAUCUAUGGAUCCAUAAUCAUCUUGGGUUUUUUUGCACAUAUCAUAAUUUACUGGAUAUGAUCUUUGGUUUAUUAUCAUUGCAAUGUAGGUAGCUGAAUCCAUGAUCUAUGAUCAUCUUGUUAUUUUCUUUGCAGAGAUCUUAGUUUAUUAGUUGUGAUCUUUGGUUUAUUGUCAAUGCAAUUUGGAGGUUGAAUCUAUGGAUCCAUGAUCAUCUAGAUAUUUUGUUUUCUUUUGUUUGUUUGUUUGUUUGUUUUGUCUGUUUUUUCACAGAUUUUACAUAAUUGGUUGUGGUUUUUGAUUUAAUGUCACUGUAGUGAAGGAAGCUGAAUCCAUAAUCUAUGAAUCCAUGCUCAUCUCGGGUUUUGUUGUGGAGAUGUUAGUAUACUGUUUGUGGUCUUUGGUUUAUUGUCACUGCAAUGUAGAAAGUUGAAUCUAUGGAUCCGUGAUCACCUAGGGUUAUUUUUAUCACAGAUGUUAGUUUCUUAGCUGUGGUCUUCAGGUUAUUAUUAUUGGUACGUAUGCAGCUGAAUCUAUGAUCUAUGAAUUUAUGAUCAUCUUGUUAUUCUUUUUAGCACAGAUCUUAGUUUAUUGGUCAUGGUCUUUGACUUAGUGUCAUUGUAAUGUAUGAUGCUGAAUCUAUGGAUCCAUGAUCAUCUUCAUUUUUCUUGCACAGGUUAUAAUUUAUUAGAUAUGGACUUUGCUUUAUUAUCAUUGCAAUAUAGAUAGUUGAAUCCAUGAUAAUCUUUUUUUUUUUUUUUUUUUUUUCCAGAGAUCUUAGUUUAUUAGUUGUGAUCUUUGGUUUAUUGUCACUGCAAUGUAGAAAGGUGAAUUUUUUAUCUAUAGUUCCUAGAUCAUCUUGGUUUUCUUGCAGAGAUUUUAGUGUUUUGGUUGUGUUCUUUGAUUUAGUGUCAUUGCAAUGUAGAUCGCUGAAUUUAUGAUCUAUGAAUCAUAAUCAUCCAUGAGCAUCUUGGGUUUUUUUUAGCACAGAUCGUAGUGUAUUGGUUGUGGUCUUUGGGUUAUUGUAAUGUAGGUAGGUGAAUCCACUAUCUAUGAAUCCAUGAUCAUCUUGAGUUUUUUGUUUUUCUUGUUUUUUUUUUCCUUUUUUUGCACUGAUCUUAGUUCAUAGGCUGUGGUUUUUGAUUUACUGUCAUUGCAAUGUAGGUAGCUGAAUCCAUGAUCUAUGCAUCCACGAUCAUCUUGUUCUGUGUGGUUUUUUUUGUGCACAGAUGCUAGUUUAUUGUAUGUGGUCUUCAGUUCAUUUUCUUUGCCAGGGGGGAAGCUGAGUAUAUGAUCUAUGAAUCCAUGGGUCUGAGAGCAUGUGUGUGCCUGGAUUGAGUGGUCACAGGAUCACUGAGCCCCAAUCAGUCAAAAAUACUUUUUACUUGGCUUCAAAAUGUGUAGAAUUGAAACAAAAUUCUUACCUUUUCCUGAAAAAUAGCUCCCAGCUGGAAUGAUUGAAUAUGCUGAUCAUUGUGCAGAUGAUACAUUUUUACUUUGUCUAUGUAAUGCCUUCUCUCCAAAAAUCAGAACCAACUGAGGCUUUGUCUAUCUUUUUCUCUAUAUAUUUGCUGGAAGCACAAAGACUGUGUUGCAUUUGUCAUGGAGGCUGACAGAAGGCAUAUGGAUGAUGGUACUCCUUGUUGCAGGCAGUCAUGUUCAGAUGACAGGACCAGAGAAAAAUGGCCAAGCUGCUCCAAUUUUUCAUGCUAGCUGCAUUUGGCGUUUAAUGACACUACUGCAGCAAAUUGGUUCUAUUACACGGAAUAGAGAAAGAUGUUCUGUUUUGUAACGUUUGGAAUGGCUGCUUAUUUAUAUUUAACAUUGCAGGGACAGGCUAGAAACCCUCUUACUCAUUAGGACCAACUUGAUCCUAAUAUACAAAUAUACAGAAAAAUAGCAGAUGCUCUACAAAGUAAAAGCAGUCCAAACAAUUGAUUUUUUAUUUGUAUGUAUUCAGAGUGCCAAAAUGAUGUGGCUGAUCCCAACAAGGCAGAAGAGAUUGAGAUGUAAAACUUGAUGUGAACGGCAAUGCUGAACGUUAGUUCUCAAGGAGAGAGAUCCUCUCAUUGAGGAUUGGUGCAAUGCAUCGCUUAGUUUUUUUGCUGUGUUCAGUAGAGUUUGCUCUGAUAUUCCACUGUUUAGGUAAUUUCUGUAUUUCAGAUUUUUGUCCCCCAUGCUAAUAAUUGUAUGCACACAAGUCAGAUAACAGCUGCCACUAACUCUUAACACACCUGGUACUCAAGUCCAAUUUCCACAGCUCAAAUGCAUUCUCAGUUGAAAUGAACUGGGCUCAGAUCAUCCCCUUAACCUACCUGUGUUACCCUACACGCUUAAUAAUUAUUUCUGGAUCUUUUUCCAUGUUAAAUUUGAGGGAGCAACUUUUUAAAAAUCUGUGAUUUGAAUGGACUAAUUCCGAUAAUCUACAGGAUGGCCACAUGUUGUGCUUUUUGGUUGGUUUUCUAUUCUGGAUUGGAAUUGCUAUUUAUUUUAAUCUAACAGUUUUGGAUUGAUAUAACUGUCCCUAGUAGUAGAUGGUGGCAAUUUUAUAGGAUCCCUCGUGUAUAAAGGACAAAAAUUUCAGCUGUCUCUUACAUCUUAUUUUUUUCUAACUGUAUGAAAUAAAUAUCAUAAAAUCUAUGUUAGCACUGCUGUGUCAUAAAACCUUUAAACUAGGCAUUAAAAUUAUCUCAAUUUUUCUCCUAUAUGUUGCAUUUUUAAACCACAAGCUUUCAGAAUAACUAUUUUACAAAAAAUGUGGUAGAAAAAAACCUCUACUUUUGAAGGUGACCGUUUAAUAUAACUGCAUUAUAAGUUCUGUCACUCAGCUUCUGACAAAAACCCAGAGUAAAUUAAGAUGUGUAUAUAACUGAGAAAAUCUGACCUGGAUUUUAAAUGGUAGUUGGGCAGUUCAAAUUGGUAUUUUAAUAUUGCAGACUGUAUUUCAAUCUUAGAAAAUACUGAAAACGCAGAGCUGUUGAUACCAAUAUUUGUGUUUAUGAACUGUUUCCAGAUCAGUAGAGCUUAUGAGAGUGUCUAAAUCAGUAAUGCAGGAACAGAAAGUUGCACUUUUUUUUUUGUUUUUGACUUGCAGUCUAUAUAUUAUUGUCUCAUUGCUAUUCCAGGCAGAUUUCCUUAAAAAUACUAAGACAAAUGCUAGUUGGGAAGCAACUUAAAUACUCUUAAGAUGGAGUGCUGUGUGACACAUGUUGAGUACUUGCCUAAUUCUCAAGGGGCAGUUGUUUCAGUGUGAGUGAGCCGUGUUCACCAGUGCUGUAAUACCACAUACACGCCAAUUUAGAAGAUGGUAACUAACAAAAAAAUCUCAUGCAGGAAGCGACUGCCAGUUAUUAGCAGUAAGAAGCAAGUUUGCUUUAUGUGAUAAUAUUUACAUAUGCAAACAGUCAGUUUAUGUGUUAAAUGGCAAAGAAAGAGUCCUUAAAUCUCUGGUGGAUAACUUACUUGUAAUAUGCAUGGCGUUUGUAUCCAGUCGAAAACCAUCCUCUUGCUGGGGCUGAAACCCAUGCAAACAUAUAUACAGCAAAAUGGUAAUGCUUGCACUUCAGUGCUUACAGUUCAAAUAUCUGGACAAUGGAUUAUGUUUAACAUAACACACAGUAGCAUCAAAAUAAAACACAGCUUACAGUGCCAUACAUAUUAACAGCUCUUCUGAAUGCAUGUAUGAUGAAAUCAAAAACGUUCCUUAAAGGGUAAGUCAUAGUGUAAUCUUUGAAGCCUGUCUACUACUUAAUGAAAUCUAAUCCCAGUAUGUUACCAUUAAAAAAUUGUCCCUAAGUGGAAAAGAAUUUACACUUUAAUCCUCUUACAGAAGUCAUUAAAUCAAUGCCUCUUUAAGUCAGUAAGUAUCUCUAAUGUUUGCAUAAUAACAUACUGCUGUGCAUACUUGCUGCAUACAUGUGUAGUAGUUGGAGGGGGCAGUAGCUGCAGGGAGAAACUUUUUUUUGCUAUAUUUGACAUUCCUCUGUCCAAAUAUGUUUUGACUGAUGUGUCUCUUGUAUUAUAAGGUGAUUUGGGGUUCAAUACUGAUUAAAAUAUUAUUGAUUAUGGGAAAAACCUCAGUGUGUGUUUAUGAAAACACAUGCUGCAAUGAUGACAGCAGAGAAAACGAAAGUUACAGCUGUAUCCUUAAAGUGGGGAACUGGCUGCCUUUUAAGCGGUAAUUACAGAAAAUAAGAUUAAUUUAAUUAUAAAAGGAAAUGAACUAAUAGUCUUAAAGAAGAUGUGUAGUUGCCAAUGAAAAAAUAUAUGCGGAGUUGCAUACAGGGGAAACAAUGCAUUCUGUCUCUCUCUCUGUAGGCCUCUUAUCAGCUUGUUUGUACUAAGCUAUGUACAAACAGCUUGUUUUAUCCAGCCAGCUCUGUGUCCCGAAGUUACUGAUUUAUUUUUUCAUUAACAUCCAGCUUUGGAUGCUUUUUCCUGAUCAUUUCUUGGUGUUGUCCGUAACUUUGAAAUGCAUUCCAAGCAACGUGACAUUAAUUAAUUCUGCUGUGCAUGUAUUUAUCAGGUUACACGAUUCAGUGAAAUAGGGAAAAAGCAAUAAAAAUAACCAGCUUACUUGAAAUGGUUUCCAUCAGAGUCCAGCCAGUCUGUCCAGCCUGGAUGCAUCUCCCUUUAAAUGUGACAGCAGAGCAGCUCCGGCCACUGAUGGCCUCCAAAGGAGGUUGCUGGAAAGAGAAAUCUGAGGUGCCUACCUGCUCUGCAGAACACCUCCAGGAUUUUGUUCUCUGUGGAUGGACUCUGCAAGAUGAAAAAUUUGCUUUUGUCAUGUUAUUUGGCUGUGAAUCUGCAGGUGAAGUGUUGCUGACCUGCUGUGGGGCCAGCCCUGUGC
ensembl:lncRNA